CUUUGAAAAGCCCUUCACACAUCCAGAGCUUUAGGGACUAAAAAAGUCCCGCAAGGGACAAGCAGUCCCGCAAUAUGUUGUAUGUUUCUCUUUGUAUGCUCCUUUCUUCUAUUAACCUUCAAAACGACGCUCAUUAGUAUGCAAGCACAUGUAGGCAAAGCAUACUAAAAAGGGUCUUUCUAAAGUCAAAAGUAUAGAUGUUGUUGAACAGAACAAACAUGGAAUUAAAGCUUGGUAUGUGCUCUUAUUUUUUUCUUCUUUUUUUUUACAAAUUAACCCAGUCUUAUUUCUAUGGUUGUUAACCUAAGUCCCUAUGAAUGAACGUUUCUUGGUUUUUUCUUUGCAGAAACAUGCAAUGAAUGCAAAUUCUUUAAAACAAAAUUGAAAUGUGGGUGCAAAGCCCACAUUUCAGAAUUGCCUAUUUUACUGGGCAUAACAUUUAAAUGUCCAUACUGUGGAACGCCAGCUGAUGAAAAAGCUCUGAAAUGGUGCAAUGAUGCACAAUUUUGGUUGGGGAUGUUGGAGUAAGUAGAACAAUUUCAACUACCUUUCAUUUGUAUAUUAACCACACGUUCAAUAUUCUUGCAAUUGUUAAAUGGUACAAUACUACAAAAUUUUGGAUGGGCAUGUUGGAGUAAUUAUAAAUUAAGCAGAAAAAUUUAGAUCACCUUUUAUAUGCAUAUUAACCACACGUUCAAUAUUCUUUUCGUUUCCCUUUAUACUUAUAGUACCUUUCUCUUUUUUUCCCUGUAGUGUGAUCAGUGCUUCAGCAUAUUUAGUAGAAAAAAUUAAAAAAAGAAUUUAUUACUAAAAUAUCGUGUAUCGUCUCUAUGAUUUCUAAGAGGAAAACGUAAUAUUAAACAACCCAAAAUCUUACAAAAUCCAUUUUAUUUCAAAUCAACUAUCAAACAAUUACCCAUACAAAAAUAUUAAUGAAGUUCUAAAAAUAUUACUGAAGUUCUAGUUGCGUUUUCUUCUUUAACAACUGCCUUUUUUUGACACAAAAUAAUUGUGUUUUAAUUAUUGUAUAUUAACCACACGUUGAAUAUGCGCUACGGUGCGCGCUACACCUACGCGUAAUUAUCAACUGUCGGCGUUUUCGUGUUGCGCUACCACUUAUGCUACACCUAUGCGCAGUUAUUAACAGUCGGAAUGUCGCUAAUAUGUUUUGGUGAUCGCCUCGGAACACAUGCGCACACAUAGAAUUUUGUCCUGCCUAAAACCGCACGAUCAACGAAGUUUUGAAUCAUUUCAAAUGAAUCCAGCUAUUUCAUUAGAUGAGCCGAGGGAUGAUUCCUCUUCGUCCAUAGAAAUUUACACACCCUUGUUUCUUUCUUCUAUUAACCUUCAAAACGACGCUCAUCAGCAUGCAAACACAUGUGGGCAAAGCAGACAAAAGGGGGGUCUUUCUAAAGUCAAAAGUAUAGAAGUAUAUUGUUGUUGGACAGAACAGACAUGGAAUCAAAGUUUGGUAUGUACUCUUAUUUUUUUCUUUUUCUUUUUACGAAUUAACCUAGUUUUAUUUUUAUGAUUGUUAACCUAAGCCCCUAUAAAUGAACGUUUCUUGUUUGUUUUUUCUUUGCAGAAACGUGCAACGGCUGUAAAACGUUCACAGUAAAAAUGAAAUGUGGAUGUAAGGUCGACCUUUAAGAGUUAACCAUUUUAUUGGACAUUCCUUUUGUAUGUUCAAUUUGUCUGUAUGUAAAAAAAUACUCAUUUGUUGAUAACUGUAGAUCAUCUCUUUGUUACCAAAGUCACUUGGUAUAUACAUAAUAUAUACAAAUUAAUGUUUCAUUUUUAUUAUUCACAUCAAUGAUUCUUCAUGAUCUUACAAUUAUUAUCUCUGCAGAACGCCUGCUGAUAAUGAAACAUUAAAUUGGUGCAAUGAUGCACAAUUUUGGAUAGAAAUGAUGGAGUAAGUAGAAAAAAAAUUAAACCACCUUUUAUUUGUUUAUUAAUCAUACGCUCAAAAUUCUUUUCCUUUUCGUUUCCUCUUUGUACUUAUAAUACCUUUCUUUUUUAUCCCCUGUAGUGCUGUAGUGCUGGUCAGUGCUUCAGCAUUUUUAGUUGGAAAAAAAUUAGA
rnacentral:lncRNA from 1 species